GAUGAAGAACGUAGUGAAAUGCGAUAAGUAAUGUGAAUUGCAGAAUUCAGUGAAUCAUCGAAUCUUUGAACGCUCAUUGCGCCCCCUGGUAUUCCGGGGGGCAUGCCUGUUCGAGCGUCAUUUCACCACUCAAGCCUCGCUUGGUAUUGGGCAACGCGGUCCGCCGCGUGCCUCAAAUCGACCGGCUGGGUCUUCUGUCCCCUAAGCGUUGUGGAAACUAUUCGCUAAAGGGUGUUCGGGAGGCUACGCCGUAAAACAACCCCAUUUCUAAGGUUGACCUCGGAUCAGGUAGGGAUACCCGCUGAACUUAAGCAUAUCAAUAAGCGGAGGA
rnacentral:misc_RNA from 1 species